CUUUAUGAUGUAAUAAUUUGCGAUUGAAUCUGAUGCUGGAGACUCUCGCCGGAGCCUCUUAACAGUGUCAGAGACAUGAUAUUCCAUUCUUACAUAUUCUGAUA
rnacentral:snoRNA from 1 species